rnacentral:rRNA from 1 species
UGGGGAAUAUUGCGCAAUGGGGGAAACCCUGACGCAGCGACGCCGCGUGCGGGAUGAAGGCCUUCGGGUUGUAAACCGCUUUUGAUUGGGAGCAAGCUUUCGGGUGAGUGUACCUUUCGAAUAAGCGCCGGCUAACUACGUGCCAGCAGCCGCGGUAAUACGUAUGUUGCGAGCGUUAUCCGGAAUUAUUGGGCUUAAAGGGCAUCUAGGCGGUAAGACAAGUUGAAGGUGAAAACCUGUGGCUCAACCAUAGGCUUGCCUACAAAACUGUUGAACUAGAGUACUGGAAAGGUGGGUGGAACUACACGAGUAGAGGUGAAAUUCGUAGAUAUGUGUAGGAAUGCCGAUGAUGAAGAUAACUCACUGGACAGAAACUGACGCUGAAGUGCGAAAGCUAGGGGAGCAAACAGG